GGUGUGGAGUGUUAUAUGUAUAAAAAGAAGGAUCAGUUUAAGAUCAUCUGUGAUUACAUUGAGGGUUCCAGGCCAGUUAGGGAAACAGAAAACCUCUUUUCAAAAAAGGGAAACCUUAAAGCAAAAGACAGAAACCAAUCUCUUUUGUGUAAUUUGACAUCUGUUAAACAGAGCAGUGUUAUUUUAACUAGUGACUAAUAAGUAAUAGGAACCUGGGGAGAUAUUUCUUUAACAAAAUCACAGACAAACACCGCAGAAUAUGUACCUUAUGGUCUAAGCAUGGUUUUUAAACUGUUUGGGCUAAAAGCUUAAAAUGUGAAUACACAUUUAAGUAAUUAAGGAAUAGGCAUUUCCCACUGUUUGACUAACUUUUCUUAAGGCAAAGGUAGUGUUCUCAGGGUCCUGGAAGGAGCUCUGGAGGCUGCAGGGUGGAAGAGCCAUCAGAGGUCUUACCUACAUGUGAACCGGGGAACUAAGAUGCCAACCUCCCAGGCAAGCGGUGCCCACAUGGUAACUGUUGGUGAGAUUGUUCCAGAGAUAACUAACCACUCUCUGACUGGAUUAGCUGCCUGCUCUACAGGAGGGAAUCCAUUCUCGGUAUUGUAAACCAAGUAGAAAACAGACUUCAGGGGUGGUUAUAGCCCUGGGGGAACUUACUACCCAGUGCUUGGCUAAAUUGACACAUCAUAAAAACUGCCCUCUUAAUAUCUGUGUUUAUAUUCAAAGACAGAGGCUGCUCUAAACAGCAAUGAAUAAGGGCAGGCUGCCCUAAGAAGAAGCUAAGAUUAAGUCAUGGUUAAGUCUGUAAGGCUCAAGAAAAACUGCAGAAGAGGGAGCUGAAAGAACGUAAGAGCCAGAAGACAGGGAGAAAGGCUGCAGAAUAUCGUCUAGGCUUGACACCAUUGCAAGCGGGAACUGUAAACAGCUGUAAUUAUGUGUACUGGGCCUGCGCAAGACUGGCCUUGUCGCCAGUAAGCUUUGGGUGGGGCAGUGUUUAUGAGGGUACUAAAGUAGUACUUUUACUUGGGGCCACUGUCCUGCAAAUAAUGGCCUAUUAAUAAUUAUGAAAGUUUGGUCCUAGCUUAGGCUUGUCCCCAGCUUGCUCUUAUAACUUAAUUAACCCAUAUUUUUAAAAAUUCUACAUUCUGCCACAUGGCUCAGUUACCUCUUCUUAGUAUGGCAUAUCAGACUUGUUCUGAGUCUAAUGAUGAAAUUGCCUUCUUCCCAGACUCCUCUCCCACCUCCAAAGUCCCGCCCCUUCCUACCUAUUGGUCAUUCAACUCUUUAUUAAACCAAUCAGAAGGCACCUUAGGCAGAGACAUAACUUUAUUGCGUAUACAAAUACAGGCGGGGGUUUCUGGGGUAAAAGGGAGGAAGAGGAGGAUGAAGCUAGGCUCUUGGGUUAUGCCAGUGAGAUGCCAGGCAGCCUGAAGAGGUUGGACAGACAAUACAGAAUAGAGGCAGCUGAGCCACAUGGCCAAACGUAGAUUAAUAAAAGCAGAUUAAAUGAAUUAUAAGAGCUAGUUGGAAACAGGCCUGAGCUAAGACCAAUAUUUCAUAAUUAAUAAGUCUCCAUGUUGUUAUUCAUGAAUUGGUGGUCCUGCGGUAAGGAUUCGGCUCACAGCUUCGGGGCACGGUCCAUCAUGGUGGGGACAUCAAGAUGACAGAAGCCCAGAGCAACUCUUCACGCGCAUCCACAGCCAGGAUGAGUCCAUGUGCUCCUGCUCAGAAUGUAAAUAAUUCUGGAAGAACUGAGGAAAAUCCUUCAACAACUACAUCACAAAGGCGAGGAAGUAUGCAUGUGCACAGUGUGUGUGCCUGGCACCUGUGG